GGACUUGCGAAUGGGGGAACCCUGACGCAGCGACGCCGCGUGCGGGAUGAAGGCCUUCGGGUUGUAAACCGCUUUCAGCAGGGACGAAAUUGACGGUACCUGCAGAAGAAGGCCCGGCCAACUACGUGCCAGCAGCCGCGGUAAUACGUAGGGGCCUAGCGUUGUCCGGAAUUAUUGGGCGUAAAGAGCUCGUAGGCGGUUCGGCAAGUCGGAUGUGAAAUCUCCACGCUUAACGUGGAGGGGCCAUUCGAAACUGCUGUGACUCGAGUCCGGUAGGGGAGUGUGGAAUUCCCGGUGUAGCGGUGAAAUGCGCAGAUAUCGGGAGGAACACCAGUAGCGAAGGCGGCACUCUGGGCCGGUACUGACGCUGAGGAGCGAAAGCGUGGGGAGCGAACAGGAUUAGAUACCCUGGUAGUCCACGCCGUAAACGUUGGGCACUAGGUGUGGGACUCUAUCGACGGGUUCCGUGCCGUAGCUAACGCAUUAAGUGCCCCGCCUGGGGAGUACGGCCGCAAGGCUAAAACUCAAAAGAAUUGACGGA
rnacentral:rRNA from 1 species